CAGCCGCCGCGGGAAUACGUAGGGCGCGAACGUUAAUCGGAAUUACUGGGCGUAAAGCGUGCGCAGGCGGUUGUGUAAGACAGGUGUGAAAUCCCCGGGCUCAACCUGGGAACUGCGCUUGUGACUGCACAGCUAGAGUAUGGCAGAGGGGGGUGGAAUUCCACGUGUAGCAGUGAAAUGCGUAGAGAUGUGGAGGAACACCGAUGGCGAAGGCAGCCCCCUGGGCCAAUACUGACGCUCAUGCACGAAAGCGUGGGGAGCAAACAGGAUUAGAUACCCGUGUAGUCCCUGUCUCUUAUAC
rnacentral:rRNA from 1 species